UAUCCUUAUGGCAGACCAUUGCAAUAGAAUUAGAAUCUAAAUACUCCCAAUUUUUACAAUUAACCUC
rnacentral:tRNA from 1 species